GCUUUGUGUUUUGAGGGGAAUGUUGUCUGGCUCGAGGACCCUUCUUCUUCUUGAUCUUGUGUAGACUGCUAUACCUGUGGUCAAGGAAUGCUUAGUGUUUUCGGACCAGGCUUCAUUCCCCCCAAUUAUA
rnacentral:pre_miRNA from 1 species